rnacentral:rRNA from 1 species
GCAGCACGGGUGCUUGCACCUGGUGGCGAGUGGCGAACGGGUGAGUAAUACAUCGGAACGUACCUUAUCGUGGGGGAUAACGCAGCGAAAGCUGUGCUAAUACCGCAUACGCCCUGAGGGGGAAAGCGGGGGAUCGAAAGACCUCGCGCGAUUAGAGCGGCCGAUGCCUGAUUAGCUUGUUGGUGGGGUAAAAGCCCACCAAGGCGACGAUCAGUAGCUGGUCUGAGAGGACGAUCAGCCACACUGGGACUGAGACACGGCCCAGACUCCUACGGGAGGCAGCAGUGGGGAAUUUUGGACUAUGGGGGCAACCCUGAUCCAGCAAUGCCGCGUGAGUGAAGAAGGCCUUCGGGUUGUAAAGCUCUUUUGUCAGGGAAGAAACACCGGCUCUAACACAGUCCGGGAAUGACGGUACCUGAAGAAUAAGCACCGGCUAACUACGUGCCAGCAGCCGCGGUAAUACGUAGGGUGCGAGCGUUAAUCGGAAUUACUGGGCGUAAAGCGUGCGCAGGCGGUUAUACAAGACAGGCGUGAAAUCCCCGGGCUUAACCUGGGAAUGGCGCCUGUGACUGUAUAGCUA